AAAUGUUCUAAAUAACAAAAAGGACAAUAGGGGUUUAAUAUGAGAGAACGUAAUGUUUUUUUUUUUUUUUUUUUUUUGUUAUUUAGAAAUUUAUGUUGUCUUUUAACGUCAGGAUGUCUAUUAAGAGUGUAUGGUGUUGGA
rnacentral:misc_RNA from 1 species